AAGAAUGUAAACAUGUAAAANGAUAAAUCGGAUACCCAACANGAAAAUCAAAUGGUNAAUAUAACGAAUACGUAGGGAAGGCUUUGGGAGGUCAAACUCCUAGAAUUCCCAUNNACCAGAGAGGGAAACACGUUGUNAGNUCCCCUCCCNGCCCAACCCAAACCCCGGCGAUUAAUGUGCCAAGGAACUAAAAUUGGUUAAGUGCGCCCCUGCGGGCACUGGAGACGGUGACCUCGCAGGAGGUGUUUUGACGCAUGAUAUAAUAUAAACGACUAUCGGCAACGGAUAUCUAGGCUCUUGCAUCGAUGAAGAACGUAGCGAAAUGCGAUACUUGGUGUGAAUUGCAGAAUCCCGUGAACCAUCGAGUUUUUGAACGCAAGUUGCGCCCGAAGCCAUUAGGUUGAGGGCACGUCUGCCUGGGCGUCACAUAUCGUUGCCCUAUGCCCAAUGCCCAUCAUUGAUAGGCACUGUGCAGGGCGAAUGUUGGCUUCCCGUGAGCAUUGUUGUCUCACGGUUGGUUGAAAACUGAGUCCUUGGUAGGGUGUGUGCCAUGAUAGAUGGUGGUUGUGUGACCCACGAGACCGAUCAUGUGCGGCUCUACUGUCUCUGGACUCUUUGACCCACUUGCGUCCGGGGUUGCCGGGUCGA
rnacentral:rRNA from 1 species